rnacentral:rRNA from 1 species
UACGAAGGGGGCUAGCGUUGUUCGGAUUUACUGGGCGUAAAGGGCGCGUAGGCGGAUUUUUAAGUCAGGGGCGAAAUCCCGAGGCUCAACCUCGGAAUUGCCUUUGAUACUGAAAGUCUUGAGUUCGGAAGAGGUGAGUGGAAUUGUGAGUGUAGAGGUGAAAUUCGUAGAUAUUCACAAGAACACCGGUGGCGAAGGCGGCUCACUGGUCCGAUACUGACGCUGAGGCGCGAAAGCGUGGGGAGCAAACAGG